rnacentral:rRNA from 1 species
GAUGAACGCUGGCUACAGGCUUAACACAUGCAAGUCUAGGGGAAACGACGGGGAAGCUUGCUUCCCCGGGCGUCGACCGGCGCACGGGUGAGUAACGCGUAUCCAACCUGCCUCUGACUGAGGGAUAACCCGUCGAAAGUCGGCCUAAUACCUCAUGGCAUCGUCUGCGGGCAUCCAACGACGAUUAAAGAUUUCAUCGGUCAGAGAUGGGGAUGCGUCUGAUUAGCUUGUUGGCGGGGUAACGGCCCACCAAGGCGACGAUCAGUAGGGGUUCUGAGAGGAAGGUCCCCCACAUUGGAACUGAGACACGGUCCAAACUCCUACGGGAGGCAGCAGUGAGGAAUAUUGGUCAAUGGGCGAGAGCCUGAACCAGCCAAGUAGCGUGCAGGAUGACGGCCCUAUGGGUUGUAAACUGCUUUUAUGCGGGGAUAAAGUGAGGGACGUGUCCUUCAUUGCAGGUACCGCAUGAAUAAGGACCGGCUAAUUCCGUG